AGAGUUUGAUCAUGGCUCAGGAUGAACGCUGGCGGCGUGCCUAACACAUGCAAGUCGAGCGAUCUUCUUCGGAAGAGAGCGGCGGACGGGUGAGUAACGCGUGGGUAACCUACCUCAUACACAUGGAUAACAUACCGAAAGGUAUACUAAUACAAGAUGAUAUAAGAGAUUCGCAUGGAUUUCUUAUCAAAGCUCCGGCGGUACGAGAUGGACCCGCGUCUGAUUAGCUAGUUGGUAAGGUAACGGCUUACCAAGGCGACGAUCAGUAGCCGACCUGAGAGGGUGAUCGGCCACAUUGGAACUGAGACACGGUCCAAACUCCUACGGGAGGCAGCAGUGGGGAAUAUUGCACAAUGGGCGAAAGCCUGAUGCAGCAACGCCGCGUGAGCGAUGAAGGCCUUCGGGUCGUAAAGCUCUGUCCUCAAGGAAGAUAAUGACGGUACUUGAGGAGGAAGCCCCGGCUAACUACGUGCCAGCAGCCGCGGUAAUACGUAGGGGGCUAGCGUUAUCCGGAUUUACUGGGCGUAAAGGGUGCGUAGGUGGUUUCUUAAGUCAGGAGUGAAAGGCUACGGCUCAACCGUAGUAAGCUCUUGAAACUGGGAAACUUGAGUGCAGGAGAGGAAAGUGGAAUUCCUAGUGUAGCGGUGAAAUGCGUAGAUAUUAGGAGGAACACCAGUAGCGAAGGCGGCUUUCUGGACUGUAACUGACACUGAGGCACGAAAGCGUGGGGAGCAAACAGGAUUAGAUACCCUGGUAGUCCACGCCGUAAACGAUGAGUACUAGGUGUCGGGGGUUACCCCCCUCGGUGCCGCAGCU
rnacentral:rRNA from 1 species